rnacentral:rRNA from 1 species
CUCGACAACGGAUAUCUCGGAUCUUGCAUCGAUGAAGAAUGCAUUGAAAUGCGAUACUUGGUGUGAAUUGCAGAAUCCCAUGAACCAUCAAGUAUUUAAACGCAAGUUGUGCCCGAAGCCUUCUUGCUGAGGGCACGUCUUCAUGGGCAUCACG